rfam:Oryza meridionalis cultivar OR44 (W2112) chromosome 3, whole genome shotgun sequence.
AGUAAGUGCAGCUAUGAAUUUUCGUGUCCAACUUUAAUCGUCCAUCUUAUUUAAAUUUUUUUUAUGAUUAGUAUUUUUAUUGUUAUUAGAUUAUAGAAUGUGAAUAGUAUUUUAUGCGUGACUUACUUUUUUAGUUUUUUUUAAAAAAAUAUGAAAUAAAACGAACGAUUAAAGUUGGACACGAAAACUUAUAGCUGCACUUAUU